GACGAACGCUGGCGGCGUGCCUAAUACAUGCAAGUCGAACGGGGAACACAGACGGAAGUUUUCGGAUGGAAGGAAGUGUUCUUAGUGGCGGACGGGUGAGUAACGCGUGAGCAAUCUGCCCAUAAGAGGGGGAUAACAGUUAGAAAUGACUGCUAAUACCGCAUAAGACCACACUACCGCAUGGUAGAGGGGUCAAAGAUUUAUCGCUUAUGGAGGAGCUCGCGUCCCAUUAGGUAGUUGGUAGGGUAACAGCCUACCAAGCCUGCGAUGGGUAGCCGGCCUGAGAGGGUGAACGGCCACACUGGAACUGAGAGACGGUCCAGACUCCUACGGGAGGCAGCAGUAGGGAAUAUUGGGCAAUGGGGGAAACCCUGACCCAGCAACGCCGCGUGAGGGAAGAAGGCCUAACGGUUGUAAACCUCUGUCAUAUGGGAAGAAGGAAUGACAGUACCAUAUGAGGAAGCUCCGGCUAACUACGUG
rnacentral:rRNA from 1 species